CCUACGGGGGGCAGCAGUAGGGAAUCUUCCGCAAUGGACGAAAGUCUGACGGAGCAACGCCGCGUGAGUGAUGAAGGCCUUCGGGUCGUAAAACUCUGUUGUUAGGGAAGAACAAGUAUCGUUCGAAUAGGGCGGUACCUUGACGGUACCUAACCAGAAAGCCACGGCUAACUACGUGCCAGCAGCCGCGGUAAUACGUAGGUGGCAAGCGUUGUCCGGAAUUAUUGGGCGUAAAGCGCGCGCAGGUGGUCCUUUAAGUCUGAUGUGAAAGCCCACGGCUCAACCGUGGAGGGUCAUUGGAAACUGGGGGACUUGAGUACAGAAGAGGAAAGUGGAAUUCCACGUGUAGCGGUGAAAUGCGUAGAGAUGUGGAGGAACACCAGUGGCGAAGGCGACUUUCUGGUCUGUAACUGACACUGAGGCGCGAAAGCGUGGGGAG
rnacentral:rRNA from 1 species